AUUUAGCCGCACCUUCUCCCACCCCUAUCCAACCACUAGGUUUAAUGUGCUGAAUGUUUACUAGAGUAUUAGUAAUAAGAGGACGCCAGUCUCUGUAAACUGUGAACUCUUAAUAAAAAGAUAGCUCUUUAGUUUCUAUUAAAGAAGAAAACCUACAAGCCCAACAUGCCCAAGAGGAAGUCAGGCAUCCAGCCUCCAUGCUGUUGAAACCACAAGCAGCCAUGCUUUGCAGUUCCUACCCCAUCCAUUGCGAACACAGCCAUACAAAAACUGAUGCCUUUUGGUAGUUAUAUCGUGUAUAUCUACAUUGCUGAGGUACAGAAAAAUUUAGUAAAAACUCUUCAUUUUUUCCUCGUUGUAAUUUAAUUCUGAGACCGUCGCAAAAAUGGAUUAUUUUAAUGUUCUCUUUGUUCAUCGCGUUAAAUGGGUGUUAUUGCGCCUUCUUAUCGCCAGGUGGCAGAACUUAGUUGAUCCUGCCCCUCCCCCUUAGAAAUGUGGUGAAAAUUGAUGAGGAUGUCCCACUGAAGAAGAAAAAAAGAAUCAAUGAUGUUUGUUCUACUCAACUCAGAAUUUGAAGCACUUGAGUAAUUAAAAUUGUUCAUACAUUUUUCAGGGAGCUGAUGGAGAUGUCAAGGAGGAGGUUAGUCACACACACUUGAAUAUAACCAUUGUGGAGUUGGCUACAGGUGGUACUUCACAUGAUCAGUAGUGAUCUCUGGUGAUUUUAUCACAUUAUUUGCUAUUUUAAACCUGCAUGGAUCAUGCAUUCUUGAAAUAGCCUUCGAGGAGAUCUGCACGGUUGUCAUCGAAACCAGCACCUCCAAAACCAGCACCAAAACCAAAAAAGCCAGCUAAAAAAGAAAAAGAGGUAAAUGACAAGAAGAAGGUGAAGGCAGCAGCAGCCGAGGAACCAAAAGAGGAGACCCAGUCAGAAAAUGGCGAGACCAAGACAGACGAAGUAGAGACUCCAGAGGAGGCAGACGAUAAGGAGGAAGAGAAGACUGACUAGCACCGAUCCCAUACAUUCAAACCCCUCAUUUGUAUGGCCCCCAAGUCUCAUGUGUUUUCCCAAAAACCUCCAUUACCUUAUUAACAGAGGAAUAUUUUUAUCAACAAUUUUGUAAUUAUUGGUGCAUGUUUUUAGCACAAAAUAAAGCUAAAUAUGGAGGAUUGUUCUGUUGUGCAGUGGUCAUAUCAAGUGUUUUAAGCAAACAUAAUUACAGUUUUGUUGUUAUAUCAGUGUUGGUACCAUGUUGGGAGUUCAGACAGGAAAGCUGGCUAAUUACAGGUGGUAUAGUAUCACAUUGUAGGUUUGCCAACUCAGAACAUUUCACUUUUGUAGGUGGAUGUAUUUUUACCCUUGAUAUGUGCAGUGUUAUUUCUUUGUGUGGGGGUGUUCUUGUUUUCAACUUGAUUGUCUGUAAGAGGAAUUUAAAUAUUUUGAAAAAUGUAAAACAUUCCAGGCUUAAUAAUGUUGUGGGCAUACCUGCUUUUGAAAAAAUCUUGUUCUGAAUUAUUUUGAUGACACAAAUUAUUUUAGCAGAGGAAGAAGCUUGCUGGAAGUGGCUUAUGCUUUUUGAAACAAAUGUUGGUAUUUUUUAACAGUGAAAAUUAAUCUAUUGAAAUAUGCAGCUAUCGUUUGUGUUCCCACUGAAGUUCUGGAUAUCUAAUUGGAAUUUAAUAAAAGUAAUUGGAAUUUUCCUCAUGAGGAU
ensembl:lncRNA